CCUACGGGAGGCAGCAGUGGGGAAUAUUGGGCAAUGGGCGCAAGCCUGACCCAGCAACGCCGCGUGAAGGAAGAAGGCUUUCGGGUUGUAAACUUCUUUUAAGGGGGAAGAGCAGAAGACGGUACCCCUUGCAUCAGCCACGGCUAACUACGUGCCAGCAGCCGCGGUAAUACGUAGGUGGCAAGCGUUGUCCGGCUUUACUGGGUGUAAAGGGCGUGCAGCCGGAGAGACAAGUCAGAUGUGAAAUCCACGGGCUCAACCCGUGAACUGCAUUUGAAACUGUUUCCCUUGAGUGUCGGAGAGGGAAUCGGAAUUCCUUGUGUAGCGGUGAAAUGCGUAGAUAUAAGGAAGAACACCAGUGGCGAAGGCGGAUUACUGGACGAUAACUGACGGUGAGGCGCGAAAGCGUGGGGAGCAAACAGGAUUAGAUACCCGAGUAGUC
rnacentral:rRNA from 1 species